CCUACGGGUGGCUGCAGUGAGGAAUAUUGGUCAAUGGGCGGAAGCCUGAACCAGCCAAGUCGCGUGAGGGAAUAAGGCCCUACGGGUCGUAAACCUCUUUUGCCGGGGAGCAAGGGCGGGGACGUGUCCCGGCCCGGAGAUUACCCGGAGAAAAGGCAUCGCCAAAUUCCGUGCCAGCAGCCGCGGUAAUACGGAGGAUGCGACCGUUAUCCGGUUUUAUUGGUUUUAAGGGGUGCGUAGGCGGACUUUUAUGUCAGCGGUAAAUACUCGGGGCUAAACCCCGUACGGCCGUUGAAACUGGGGGCCUUGAGUGGGCGAGAAGAAGGCGGAAUGCGUGGUGUAGCGGUGAAAUGCAUAGAUAUCACGAAGAACCCCGAUUGCGAAGGCAGCCUUCCGGAGCCCUACUGACGCUGAGGCACGAAAGUGCGGGGAUCGAACAGGAUUAGAUACCCCAGUAGUC
rnacentral:rRNA from 1 species